GAUGAACGCUAGCUACAGGCUUAACACAUGCAAGUCGAGGGGUAACGAGAGGAAAGCUUGCUUUCCUUGUCGACGACCGGCGCACGGGUGGGUAACGCGUAUCCAACCUGCCCCCAACUAGGGAAUAACCUUGCGAAAGUAAGGCUAAUACCCUAUAAUUUCCUCAGAUGUCAUCUGACGAGGAAUAAAGAUUUAUCGGUUGUGGAUGGGGAUGCGUCUGAUUAGCUUGUUGGCGGGGUAACGGCCCACCAAGGCAACGAUCAGUAGGGGUUCUGAGAGGAAGGUCCCCCACAUUGGAACUGAGACACGGUCCAAACUCCUACGGGAGGCAGCAGUGAGGAAUAUUGGUCAAGGGGCGGAAGCCUGAACCAGCCAAGUAGCGUGCAGGAUGACGGCCCUAUGGGUUGUAAACUGCUUUUAUACAGGAAUAAAGUUAGCCACGUGUGGUUAUUUGUAGGUACUGUAUGAAUAAGGACCGGCUAAUUCCGUGCCAGCAGCCGCCGUAA
rnacentral:rRNA from 1 species